rnacentral:rRNA from 1 species
AGUGAACGCUGGCGGUAGGCCUAACACAUGCAAGUCGAACGGCAGCACAGUAAGAGCUUGCUCCUACGGGUGGCGAGUGGCGGACGGGUGAGGAAUACAUCGGAAUCUACUUUUUCGUGGGGGAUAACGCAGGGAAACUUACGCUAAUACCGCAUAUGACCUACGGGUGAAAGCAGUGGAUCUUCGGACCUUGCGCGACUGAAUGAGCCGACGUCGGAUUAGCUAGUUGGCGAGGUAAAGGCCCACCAAGGCGACGAUGCGUAGCUGGUCUGAGAGGAUGAUCGGCCACACUGGAACUGAGACACGGUCCAGACUCCUACGGGAGGCAGCAGUGGGGAAUAUUGGACAAUGGGCGCAAGCCUGAUCCAGCAAUACCGCGUGAGUGAAGAAGGCCUUCGGGUUGUAAAGCCCUUUUGUUGGGAAAGAAAAGCAGCAGGUUAAUCCCCCGCUGUUCUGACGGUACCCAAAGAAUAAGCACCGGCUAACUUCGUG